AGAUACGUGAUGUCUGUGCCAACUCGUCCAGUAUUUCUGUUGCACAAGCUGGCAAUUCAUUAGGCGCAAACAAUCUCAUACUCAUUUUUGUUUAUUAUUUUAGGGAAUGAUCAUAGAUUUUUUUUUAGUGGACGGGAAUCACCGUAGAUAGUUUUUUCUGGGCCAUCACUCUUAUCUCCCAUGGUUUUUUUUUGAGAAAUUCUUAUCUCCCAUGUGUUGUUCCCUUGCAGUUGUAGCUGCAGAGUUAACAUCCAUGGCCCAUGAUGAACUGAGCGCUUUGGCUGCCUGAUGGGAGAAAUUGUUCGCCUGCAGUUUUAACCACGUGUUGUUGCAUAAGAUGAGUGCGACAUUAUUUUGCAUAAAGGUAAAAAAAAACUAUACAUAUCAGCUUAGGAACGAUCAGCGACACCAAUCAGCCAAACAAAGUUGAUUUGAGGGGGACGCGAUCAGCUCCCCUUCCAGACAUGGCAAAGAGAGGUUUACAACUCAGUUGGCUUGCAUGUUGCAUCACAAGUCGAUGUCUGUUUGGCGAGCCUUACACCCCGGAGCGGGCGCAAGAAACACCGCACAACUAUAAGUUAAUACCCAGUUGUAAUAUAUUUAUGCUUCCUAAUACAAAUAUCUGAAACAAAAGAUUGCCAAACUACCAACGGCUGAAUUAUUCUGAAUGUACAGAUAAAAACAAGCACUAAACCAUAAUAGGUGAAUCUAUUCUCUCGGAAGCAAUUUACAUCUUGGAGGCAGCCAUCACAACCAACUGUUAAGCACCCUUCCAGGUGCUUUAGUUUCCAGCCAAUGAUCAUCAUGAACCUAAUGUUGGGGCGGCUUCCUUAACAGAUAGAUAACCACUGCAGCAAGCAAAACAAGUGGUGUCAGAUGAAAGAGAGUAGAGUUGCGUUUUGUGCAAACUAUUAUAGAGUAUUUCAGAGUUGCAGAUUUAACAAGCCCGCUAUUGUAAAAACUCCAAUGUAGGUUGAACAAUUUCACAUAACCAUACUGAAACCCAGCCUUGGUGAAGUCUCAAAUAGCUAGGUGCAAGACAGGCGGGCCAUGUUUCUCAAGUAUGGUAGCUAGGGAUUCUCAUACAAUUCGAGCCAUCAAAGAAAAACAUUCUAGAGAUUCUAGUGGUUGCACAUACCAUAAGAGUCAACCCUUAAUUCAAGAGAUUUGAGAUACAACAGUGUAUUCAACUGUUUUGAUGUCAAAGAAUAACUAUAUCUUAAGUUAUGCGAUGAAUUUGUUCAAAAUGCUGACAGUUUUGUGAAAUUUACUGAAGAAAGAGGAAGCAUGAAACAUGCAUAGCAUCAAGAGAAUCUGCUAUGAUUCAGCACAGAUACGUAUUUUUCAUUCACUUGCUAAAAGGGCAGAAGAUUCAUGAAGAGGACUAUACAAACCACUGAAAAGAAGAAGAGAAGGGGUACUAAUUUUUAGGGCUGUCUAAGAUUGUCUGAAUUUGCCUCACAUAUAACAUGCUUGUCAGUACAACAAAAUUACCUCAUGGAGCAAUACCCAUUGCCGAAAAUUGCCUGAUCUUCAGUUUCAGGUGUCCCCAUUAUGGUACUGAUGAUGUAAAGGGGAAGAGCGUCAGGAAAAGAAUAUGAUGAUUGAAGAUUGCUAUACAGAACUGUAUCAUGUUUAGCUUCAAAAUCGAAGUAUAGGGUUGUAAUGGCAAGUGAUGGUAUGAUAGGUUACCUGGGGUUGCAUAUAACCCAUCCCUUGGGCGUAAGCUCCAUGCUGAACCAUCUAAAAGAAUAUGAGCAAGUCAGUUUCAAGCAACAUUAGGAGCAAAGGAACCCAAGUUGCAAAUACUAACCGCUUGGGCGUUUGAGCUAGUCGCACCACUAUGAGCACCAAUUAUAUCUUUCUUCACGGAUCCUUCACCAGAUUUUGAGGUCAAUUUACUAUCACCCUACAGGAAAGUAAUAGACAAGAGAGUCGUUAAUAUUCAGUACAUACUGUUCACAUAAAGCACACAAGAUAGAAACAGAAGCUUGCAAGGCCAUAAUGCAGUCCAACAAAAUGAGUGGGAAGUAUGUACCAACUUAAGUAUUAGAGAGCAAUCAUGCAACCUUGCUUAGAAGUUAGAACUAGUUUAUUGCUUGAAAGCUGGAACAGCCUUCAUGAAUGCAACUAAGUUUCUUUCACGGUAUAUGAAACUGGAAAGCAUGCGGGUUUUAUUCAGGUGUUCACGCGAGGAACUUGCAAGCUUCAAAGUACAUAGGUCAUGUGUAUUUCACAUCAAGUGACAACUAUAUACCUGAUUAAAGGGACACAGCUCAAAGGAUCUAACGCAGGUUAUGUGGCCUAAGUAGGCAGGAUCUAACCCUUUUGUGGUUAUGUUUAAACUAGGACUUAGAGGAAACUGCAUUUUGUUUUGCAUUGGUAUGAAACGUAUCAGCGAAUCAAUAUCAUGUAUGUCGAAUUGAUUACAAGAUCACAUACCUCCAUCUGCAAUCACCGCGCCCGUCCAGAAAAUUGCAAGGAAGACAGAGAAGAAGCGAGGUGAGAUGAUGACACAAAACAAGAGAAUUAUUGUCAUUUGCAGCAAGUACUGACAGUGAGCAAGAGCCAUGAUUACAUCUCUGUACUUUUGCAGGUAGAUCUUGAGGGGGUCUACGUACUCCUCGAAUCCGAGCGUGGCCAUGGCCCAGAGCAGAUCGUCCCCGUUGAUGGUCUUGCGCUUCUCCUUCUGGCACUUGUCGCUGGCCCUACCAAACCAAACCAAACCACAGCGAAAAGUCACAACUCCGGCCACCCAAGACAAACAAAACCAGCCCGGCCGAGUUCGUUCGAGGCCGAGGUUCGAAGGCCAGGUGGCAUGAUGACGGUGGCAGCGAGCAGCUAGCGGCGGGCAACUCACUCGCUGGUGACGAAGGAGAUGAACUCGGAGACGCACUCCUGGAGGGUCUCCUUGGCGUCCUUGGCGAUCUUGCCGUUGGCCGGCACGGCCUUCUUCAUGAUGCGGCUGAUGUUGGCGAUGGGGAGGAAGCGGUCCUGCUCCCUGACCCCGCCGCCGCCCCGGGGGCUCCCGCUGUCGUCGUCGGCCAUCCCGCGCCCCGAAACCCUAGAUCCAUCGCGAGCAAAUCAGGACACGGAUCCACGGCGCGCGAUCGAGAGGGGAUGGGAGGGUAGGGAUCGAAAUCAAACGCACCUUAUAAAAAACGCGCGCGCGGGGGGGGAGGAGCGGAGGGGAGAGAAGGGAGGGGGGAGGAGGAGACGGUGGUUGGCGCUGCGAGGAGGGGUGGGGAAUGCGAGAUCGGACGCUGGAGAAGGCGACGCGGCCCGGGCCGGUGCGAUGGGGAAGACGACGGAUCCGGGCCGUUCGUCGGUCGGGAAGAGAGAGAAGAGAGGAGGCUGCGGGUGGGGCCUCACCCUGCCGGUGGACCCCGUGGGGUUAAAAGUGCCGUGGUGAGCUUCUUCUAGCACCAUGUUAGAUGGGCUUCUUUCGUUGAGGGAUGUUCGGAGGGCUUUUUGGGGGCUCUGUUCUCGAAACAAAAAGAAGCUGCUUGGGCUUCACCACGAAUUUUCAUCUAAUCUAAAAAAAAUACCCCUAAAAAUCACCCAUCGAAAAGCCUAAUAUAAAAAAAUUGAUUCGCAAAAAAUAUCUAAAAACCAUAAAAUUUCUAAAAAAAAAUUGCAGGAUCUAUCUUCGUUUUUUAACACAAUUUCCUAUUGCAAACUAUGUCAAUCAUCAAAUAAUGUAUACAUCAUCCACAAGUUAAUUUUAUGAAUAGCAAAACCAAUUAUUUCAUGCACUACUUUGGCAAUGCUUGAACUGGAUGUUCCGAAUCGAUCAUCAAAUCUACAGUCUGCCUAAAUUGCUGCUCUCAAUCGCCAUCACCAAAUCCUGCAGCUACGCUAUAGGCUUCAGCGAUAGCAGCUUCAGAACAAAGGAGCACGCACCUCCAUUCUAUCUUCUUUAGGCAGCUACGCUAUAGGCUUCAGCGAUAGCAGCUUCAGAACAAAGGAGCACGCACCUCCAUUCUAUCUUCUUUAGGCUGCUCAACACGGCGAAAUACACAGACACCUUCCCACAUUAGGUUGAGAUUUGGUGCAUGGGACCUUGUUUGUUUGGGCUCCAGCUUCUACAGAAUCAGCUGCGGAUUCCUGUGCUGGCAAACCCAAAUCAGAUUUUGGCUAACUAAUCAAAAGCUGAUUCAAAACAACUGUUUGUUUCAGAUAUAGCUUUGAAUCCGGUCCCUAAAGCUGAAACAAACACGGCCAAAUUCUACAUACACAACCAAUGCCCAGGGCAAUUUCAGGACAAGGGAAAUUCAUCUCAAACUGGGGAACAAAACUCAUAACAGUAGCACUUUCCCAUAACAGGAGCAAAAUGUGACAAGGCAUAGUUUUCACCAACACGAUCAUAAGUUAUCAACUUAAAAGUGCUGUAAACACAAAGGUACCAUCCUCCUUCAACAUCUAAAGGCCCGACAUACUGUCUACUCCAUGCAACGGCAAUCUAAGACCUGGGCUUCUCCUUCUUCUCUUUGAAGAGGGCAAGCAGAGAAACACCUGACACCUUGACGACCUUGAACCGGACACCGGGAAUAUCUCCCACAGCAUGUCCCUUACGACCGAAUCCAGCGAUCAGCACCUCGUCCUGGACAACAGGUGAAAGACAAACUUAGUACCUACAGCAGAG
rnacentral:lncRNA from 1 species